rnacentral:rRNA from 1 species
AGUGAACGCUGGCGGUAGGCCUAACACAUGCAAGUCGAACGGCAGCACAGUAAGAGCUUGCUCUUACGGGAGGCGAGUGGCGGACGGGUGCGGAAUACAUCGGAAUCUACUUUUUCGUGGGGGAUAACGUAGGGAAACUUACGCUAAUACCGCAUACGACCUACGGGUGAAAGAAGGGGAUCUUCGGACCUUGCGCGAUCGAAUGAGCCGAUGUCGGAUUAGCUAGUUGGCGGGGUAAAGGCCCACCAAGGCGACGAUCCGUAGCUGGUCUGAGAGGAUGAUCAGCCACACUGGAACUGAGACACGGUCCAGACUCCUACGGGAGGCAGCAGUGGGGAAUAUUGGACAAUGGGCGCAAGCCUGAUCCAGCCAUGCCGCGUGGGUGAAGAAGGCCUUCGGGUUGUAAAGCCCUUUUGUUGGGAAAGAAAAGCAGCAGGUUAAUACCCCGCUGUUCUGACGGUACCCAAAGAAUAAGCACCGGCUAACUUCGUG